UACGUAGGGUGCAAGCGUUGUCCGGAAUUAUUGGGCGUAAAGGGCUCGUAGGCGGUCCAUCGCGUCGGGAGUGAAAAGCUGGGGCUUAACCCCAGUCCUGCUUCCGAUACGGGUGGACUAGAGGUAGGUAGGGGAGAACGGAAUUCCACAAGUAGCGGUGAAAUGCGUAGAUAUGUGGAAGAACACCGGUGGCGAAGGCGGUUUUCUAUCUUAUACCUGACGCUGAUGCGCGAAAGCAAGGGGAUCGAACAGG
rnacentral:rRNA from 1 species